CCGGUGGUGGUAGCAAUGACGAUGAUGGAGCUGAAGAUCUGGUUCGUCUUCUCCGGUAUUUUUAUGAAGAUGGUGGCGAUAAUCAGAAUCUUUGCCUGAGAAAGGGGGUAAGGGAGACCGAGAUCAAGAUCAAAGUUCCGAAUCGAUUUUCCUGGUGGGUUCAUCCCAAUGACAUGAUUUUGAAGUGUAUGAGUUAAUCUAUGUUGUAUGAAUCAAGUGUUUGAGAAGGGAGAAAUCAGAUUUAUGAUGCUAGGAACGAUUAUUUUCAAAAAAGAAAUCAGAUGCUUGUUGUUGAUGGAUAUGAUUCUAGACAUCUUUUUAGUUUUUGGUUUGAUUGUUUCUUGAAGAGGAAGAUAAAAGGGGUGAAUACUUCUUGAUUUUUAAUUUCUUGUUUUGUGAAGAGAGAGAGAGAGAGAGAGAGCCCUUUCAUUUUUUAAUUAUUAAAAUAAAUAAAUAAUUAUUAAAACUUUAAAAAAUGAUUUUAGAAAUAGAAAAUAAAUACCCAAGGGUAUUAAAGUCAUUUCAGUUUACCGAGGAACCAAAUCCGCAACCAAACUAGCUCAAAAGGACCACGAAACCAAAAAAGUCGGAGUUUGGACUAAAAACCCAAAAAAAUUCAUACCACAGGGACCAUUUUUGCAAUUUUGUCUUAAAUUUAAAUCCAUUCAUCAUAUUCAUAUAUACAUAUAUACCUUGGUAUAAUAUCGGCAUCCUUUCUCCCCAUCUGUAACAACCAUAAGCUUGAAGUGAUCACGCCACAAUGACUUCACUGCUUCUUCGCUAUCGGCAUCUUUCUGUGUCAAGAAUGCCACCUCGUCGUCGCUCACCUACGUACAACCACCGUCCACCGUCGUCAUAGUGAAUUAUUUAGGUUUAAAGUAUGUGGAAAUUAAUACCUUGAUGAAAUCAGCUUCGUUCCAGAUACUCAUAAUACCAUGUCUGGCAGCCUCCGGUGAAGGCCAAAGAGGAAGGCGGACGUUAGGGUCGUAAGAGAGGAGGACCCCAGCUUGCUUGGCUGUUUUCAUGGCGGCCAUGUGAGCAGACCUACAGGGCUCCGUAAUGAGGCUGAUUGACCCGUAAUGGAAGAUCUUCGCAUUCUUAAUCAAAUCCAUGUUCAGUUCAGACUCUUUCAACAGCAUAUCAGCGCUAGGGUUCCGAUAGAACAUAAAUUCCCUUUCGCCAUUCUUCUUUAGCGUCACGAAUGCAAGAGCCGUUCUCGCAUGCUCAUCGAACAAAACUCCGUCCGCGUUUACUCCGUUCUUCUUCAGUAUGUCUGCUAACAUGUAUCCAAACUCAUCUUUCCCAACCUGUGUUCCAUACGUAAAUAGAAAUCCAUGAGAAUAAAACGUUAAAAAUUCCCAAUCUAAUCUUAAUCACGCAGAUGGCAGAUCCGAUGAGAUGAACGUGAAAUCGAUGAAAUGGCUGAAAUGUAAUUACCUUGCCGAUGAAAGCGGAGGAGCCACCGAGCUUGGUGAUGGCACAGGCGACGUUUGCAGGUGCGCCGCCGGGGGCUUUGAGGAAUCCUUGAGACUCAGCCAAGGAGACGCCGGCGGUAUCUGGGACGAAAUCGAUCAACAUCUCUCCGAAACACACAAUGGAUGCCAUGUCGUCAGGAUUGAUAAUGGAUUGAUUCUGUGUUGGAAAA